GAUCCUGGCUCAGGAUGAACGCUAGCGACAGGCUUAACACAUGCAAGUCGAGGGCAGCAUAAAAGUAGCAAUACUUGGUGGCGACCGGCGCACGGGUGAGUAACGCGUAUGCAACCUACCUAUCAGAGGGGAAUAACCCGGCGAAAGUCGGACUAAUACCGCAUAAAACAGGGGCACCGCAUGGUGAUAUUUGUUAAAGAAAUUCGCUGAUAGAUGGGCAUGCGUUCCAUUAGGUAGUUGGUGAGGUAACGGCUCACCAAGCCGACGAUGGAUAGGGGAACUGAGAGGUUGGUCCCCCACACUGGUACUGAGACACGGACCAGACUCCUACGGGAGGCAGCAGUGAGGAAUAUUGGUCAAUGGGCGGGAGCCUGAGCCAGCCAAGUCGCGUGAAAGGAAGAAGGAUCUAUGGUUCGUAAACUUCUUUUGCAGGGGAAUAAAGUGCAGGACGUGUCCUGUUUUGUAUGUACCCUGAGAAUAAGGAUCGGCUAACUCCGUGCCAGCAGCCGC
rnacentral:rRNA from 1 species